rnacentral:rRNA from 1 species
UACACACCGCCCGUCACACCAUGGGAGUUGUUUGGACCCGAAGCCGCCUGGCCAACCCGCAAGGGAAGUAAGCGUCUAAGGUCUGGACAGUGACUGAGGUG